rnacentral:rRNA from 1 species
UGCCCUUAACUCUGGGAUAAGCCUGGGAAACUGGGUCUAAUACCGGAUAUGACCUUCCAUCGCAUGGUGGUUGGUGGAAAGCUUUUUGUGGUUUUGGAUGGACUCGCGGCCUAUCAGCUUGUUGGUGAGGUAAUGGCUUACCAAGGCGACGACGGGUAGCCGGCCUGAGAGGGUGACCGGCCACACUGGGACUGAGACACGGCCCAGACUCCUACGGGAGGCAGCAGUGGGGAAUAUUGCACAAUGGGCGCAAGCCUGAUGCAGCGACGCCGCGUGAGGGAUGACGGCCUUCGGGUUGUAAACCUCUUUCAGUAGGGAAGAAGCGAAAGUGACGGUACCUGCAGAAGAAGCGCCGGCUAACUACGUGCCAGCAGCCGCGGUAAUACGUAGGGCGCAAGCGUUAUCCGGAAUUAUUGGGCGUAAAGAGCUCGUAGGCGGUUUGUCGCGUCUGCCGUGAAAGUCCGGGGCUCAACUCCGGAUCUGCGGUGGGUACGGGCAGACUAGAGUGAUGUAGGGGAGACUGGAAUUCCUGGUGUAGCGGUGAAAUGCGCAGAUAUCGGGAGGAACACCGAUGGCGAAGGCAGGUCUCUGGGCAUUAACUGACGCUGAGGAGCGAAAGCAUGGGGAGCGAACAGGAUUAGAUACCCUGGUAGUCCAUGCCGUAAACGUUGGGCACUAGGUGUGGGGGACAUUCCACGUUUUCCGCGCCGUAGCUAACGCAUUAAGUGCCCCGCCUGGGGAGUACGGCCGCAAGGCUAAAACUCUAAUAGCG